AUUGGGUUUAUUUAAUGUUUACAUGAUUUUAAGGUAUGAAGAUCCAAAUUACGGAAAGAGUUAUUGGACGUUCUCAUUCUCAUACUGCAUCUAUAUAUUUAGCUAUUUCCAUCUGUCUGUGUUUAUUUCAUGUUAAGGCAGCAUUAAGGACUCGGAUUUUCAAGCAUUACUUAGACAUGGGACACAACAGCCAAGCAAACGACGCAUUAACUCAAAACCCAGAUCCUAGCAGGUACGACCCCCGUGACAAGUUCACUUAAGUCUAGUUGCAUAACAUGCAUUGUGAAUCCAUAUAGUUAUACAUUAUUCUCUCCUUUUGCCAGUUUACCAAAGAAGCAGAUCUUUGUCCAGUUUGCUCACUAUUGCCCACCUAUCAGAUCAGACAUGGGCUUUUUUUAUUGUGCUCAUCCUUAGACUGCAUACACAGGCCAAGGAAGUUUUUGGCCAAGUGGAGUUUCAGCACAGCCAGAACAAUACCCGGAUAAUCAGGAAAAUGUAAACAUUGUAGCUCCAUAUAAAGCCCCCUAAAGCUUUGCAUUAGUGGAAGAGCAUGUUCCAUUUGGGUAGGAGAAGAGGGUUGGCCAGGGGACCCUGCUUUAAAUGCUAGAGUCAAUCUUGCUGCUAAAUAAUUAUAUUUUCAUCUUACGGCAGCUCAUAGUGGUUCUGUGUGAGUGCUCCCAGCUGCAGGACCUUGUAGAGUUUCCAUAUGUAAAUCUCCAUAAUGAAACCAAGUGACCAAUGCAGAAAAUAUUCCCCCAGACCAGAAACCGCUUUCCGAGACUUCUGUAAAUGCUGGUCAGCCAGGCAGAUGUGUAAGAAACAUCGGCAGAAGAUCCUCAUAAAAAUGAAGGAGACCCAUCUGGAAACAGAAACCGCACAUGAAUACUCACUGAAUACUCACCAUGCAAAAAACUAAAAGGAUCCAGUACUAAAGACAGACACGCUCCAGUAAUCAGGGGCCAACCCACAACAGCCAUCAUGGCACCACCUCUCCAAAACAGAAAGCCCAACUGACCAUGCCCUCAACUCCAACUGUACUGAAGUAUGUCUGCGCUGUGCGAACCACUGAGUGCUAAUCUCAGCAGUAGAUAACCUGAUAGCAAUAGUGUGACACAGCAGUAGGGACCUUUUAUAAUAGGUUGGUACUCUUGACACAACAGUAUGUGCCCCUGAUUGGCUAGUGGAAUAGAUAUAACGUGGAGGUAAUUGCAUCUGUGUGCCAAUUUUGUUUUUUUUUAUAGCUAAUAAACUGUAGGUAACCUGAGAGAGGGGUCUCCCCAUCUUUCCAUUGCCUCCCAUAUAUGAGUAAAAUGUCUAAGUUAGUAGUAUUGGAAAUUCUUUAGGUUGCUGUUAGGUCUAGCUUGUCUAAGAAGAUCUAAGACAGGAUGCUGACCUCUUUCCAUAAUAUGUAUGAAUUGCAAAUGACCCUCUACGAGCCAUUCUUUAAAGUCCUUGCAAUUAAGUCCUGGGGGGAAUGCUGGGUUAUUGGUAAUAGGAGUGAGAGGUGAGGGAAAAGUGGGGAAUUUAGAUUUCCCCUUCACAGCGUCCCAUGUAGCCAGUGUACCUUUUAAUAAGGGGUCGGAAUCAUGUAGUAUUCUCCGGUGUACCUUGUCAAUCCAUGGUAAAUGUAUCAAAUGUGUAGCAGUUGAUUGCUGUUCAAUUUCUACCCAAUCUUUGUUGUCUAAAUUAUGGGACCAAUCAAUUAUCCUAGCUAAUUGCACAGCCUUUAGAUAACGGGCACAAUCAGGGAGUGCUAGGCCCCCCUCUACCUUGCUUCUGAACAACGUGGUGGUUUUGAUUCUUGGAUGUUGACCCUUCCAAAUAAAUUUUUACAACAUUGAUUCUCCCUAACCAGGACAGAGGUUGUUUGGUCCAGUUCUGUAUAUCUUUGUAUAGUCUAGUAAAUAGAGCUUUACAAUUAACUUCCACUCACUCAUUAUAUUCCUUUUUAAUAAGUAUUCCUAAAUAGGAAAAUUGCCCUUUCGCCCAGCUGUACGGGAAGUUUGGGGAAAGUUCUUGAAUUAUACGCUCUGAGAGAGAGAGACAUUCAUGGCUAUGGAUUUAUUAAAGUUGACUUUAAAGUUACUAAUCUUACCAAAAGCUUCAAAUAAUUUAUUCAAGUUUAGGAUUCGUUAAAAAAAAUAGCAAAUCAUCAGCAUAUGCCGCUACUUUAUAAUGUUUAUGUCUUAUCUUAACCCCGUGGAUAUCCGGGUGUUGACAAAUCUGUUUUAGAAAAGGUUCCAGAGCCAAGACAAACAGUGUAGGUGAAAGAGGGCAGCCUUGACGUGUACCAUUUUUAAUUGUAAGAUAGUCCGAAAGCACUCCAUUCACCCUGACUCGAGCCACUGGGCCUUUAUAUAGGGAUUUAAUCCAUUGACAAAGGCUAUCCCCAAAUCCAAAUUUAUUGAGACAAGCAAACAUAUAGGCCCAGCUGACUCUAUCAAAGGCCUUUAUAACAUAAGGGGUGUUUUCUUGAGCUCAGCAUGAUGUAGAAUAUUAAUCAAUUUGUUGAUAUUAUCUCUAGUUUCCCUUCCAGGUACAAAGCCUGCUUGGUCCAAUCCUAUCAAGUGGGCAAGAGCAGAUGGUAUUCUAGAAGCGACUAUCUUGGCUAAUAAUUUUGCGUCUACGUUAAUUAAGGAGAUAGGCCUAUAGCCUCCGGGAUCUUCUGGGUUUUUAUUGGCUUUGAAGAGCAGGGAGAUAUGGGCUUCUAGAGAGUGGUGUGAGAACUGGGCUUUCUUUUGUAAAGCAUUAAAUGCCUGCAUCAUGUGCGGAAUGAGUAGUUCCGAACAUUCUUUAUAAUACGUGGACGUAUAGCCGUCCGGGCCAGGGCUUUUUCCGGCAGGGGAUGAACUUAUUGCUUGGGAAAGUUCUUCUGCAGAAAUAUCUGUUUCUAGGGCUUGCUGUUGCACCAGGAACAAUUGUGGAAUUGGGAGUGUAUUAAGGAAUUUCUCUAAAGCCACGGCUUGGGGAAGGUCAUCCAUUACUGUGGGAGUCUGUAUUUGAUAUAACUUAGUGUAAUAUCUAUGGAAUUCUUGGGCUAUCUGAGGGCUACUAUGCACUUUUCCCUUUUCAAAUGACUGUAAACUAUGUAUAUGAUUUCUGGUUACCCUAGCUUUUAAAAGGCGUGCCAAUAACUUGCUACAUUUAUCCCUGUGUUCAUAAAAUCAAUGUCUCAUUCUUGUGACAACUUUUUCAGUAAAUAAAUUCUGAUGAUUAUCUAAAUCUGUGCGUCGACAGAGUAAUUUUGCAAAAAGCUCUGCAGUGGGUGUAUGUUUAUGAGCUGCUUCUACCCUUCUGAAUUCUUUCAAUACAUUUUCAUGCUUCACAUUGUGUGCUUGUUUUCUCCUGGAACCUACUGAAGGGUUACAUGCCUACGUGCCGACCCUUGUAGGCCUCUGUACUUGUUUUCCUGUACGACCCUGUGCUGUCUCUUCUUGGACAACCUUGCAUAAGUAUCAUCAUGUACCAUAAACAAUGUUAUCAGCUUGCCUUAGCCAAAAUAUCUCAGCUAAUACACACGCACAUAUUUGUCUGUUAUUUCUCUCUUUCCAAUCCUGAAUGCUGAACCUAUUACAAGACAUAUACUUUGCUAAUACGUCACUAUAUUAGGAUGUCUUUGCUUAUACCCUAUAUAAGCCUAUGUUUGGACUACAAUAAACGGAACUUGUUAUUCUGA